GACGGAGGAUGCAAGCGUUAUCCGGAAUUAUUGGGCGUAAAGCGUACGUAGGCUGCUAAUUAAGUCUGUUGUCAAAGCCCGAGGCUCAACCUUGGAUCGGCAAUGGAAACUGACUAGCUAGAGAGAGAUAGGGGCAGGAGGAAUUCCAGGUGUAGCGGUGAAAUGCGUAGAUAUCUGGAAGAACACCAGUGGCGAAAGCGUCCUGCUGGAUCUCAACUGACGCUGAAGUACGAAAGCUAGGGGAGCGAAUGGG
rnacentral:rRNA from 1 species